rnacentral:rRNA from 1 species
UACGAAGGGGGCUAGCGUUAUUCGGAAUUACUGGGCGUAAAGCGCACGUAGGCGGAUUAGUAAGUCAGGGGUGAAAUCCCGGGGCUCAACCUCGGAACUGCCUUUGAUACUGCUGAUCUAGAGUCCGGAAGAGGUGAGUGGAAUUCCUAGUGUAGAGGUGAAAUUCGUAGAUAUUAGGAAGAACACCAGUGGCGAAGGCGGCUCACUGGUCCGGUACUGACGCUGAGGUGCGAAAGCGUGGUGAGCAAACAGG